AAUAAAGUGCCUGAUUAAAGGAUUAAAUUGUAAAUUUAAUUAUAGUGUACACCCACUCUUUGUUA
rnacentral:tRNA from 1 species